CCCAGGGUAAAGCAGAAGUAAGAUAGUGAAAGCCCCCGGAGGUCUGUUCAGAGAAGGGAAUCCCUGGUAUCAGGACCCGCGGUAACCUGCCGCCAGUGCUCCUGGCUCCAAGGCUUGGAACCGACCGCGGAGUGCGAAGCACCCCCCCACGCCUGCCCCACAGAGAUCGCGACGCUUUCGAGGACUGUGGAUUCCUAAGAAAUAUCCUGCACACCCUUCUCUGUCUCAGCAUCUGCUCCAGAGAAUGCAUCCUGAGGGAAGGCCUCAUGGAGAAGGUGCCAUCCAAGCCAAGAAGAAAAGUAGGGAGCAAACCAUGUAGAAGUAUGUAAGAAGUUCUCUCCAGAAAAGGAACAGCAAGUGCUAAGGCCGUGAGGGAGAUGAAUGAAGAUGAACUAUGUCUAGGGAAGAGAGGAAGGUGCAAGAUGUGUUUAGAGGCCUGGCAAGGAGAUAAGGAUCACCAUCAGGUAGCCGGUGUGAAAAUAAAUUGUAAAAGGACUUGGCACCUGGACAAAAGUGGGUGUUUGUGUAAAUAGGAAUUGAAGACAUAGGAGGCCAAAUUGGGUAACUAUAGGGGGGGGACACUGAUGCCAUGAACAAGGAGACCACAGAAAGAGGUGACCUUUGGGGGUCUAGAUGUUCAGCAUGCAACUCAAAAUUGGCAAUUCAGAGAAGUCUUCCUUUUGUGAACUAAUAUCAAAAACAUUUAUAUUGACAGUUUGGUAGGAAAGUUUCCACUGAAGAGUGGAAGAUAAAGGGGAAAAAAAGACUUACAAUUCCACUCUUCUCAUUUUGCUGUACUUUUCUCCAGUCUUUUUUGCGGGGGGCGGGGAUGCUUUAAAAAGUUUGUACUGUUAGAAAUUUAGAAUUUUCGUUUUCAAUAUCCCUUAGUCUUGGGCUCCUGAAAAGAAGGCUUCUGGAGACAAGCUGAGCAAAUAUUUGCUCCUAAAUAGUGACUGGAUUGAUGGUCUGUAAUUCUUAUGACUGAAUACGUAUUGACAAGAAGUGUUUUCUUCUUUUGAGACUUUUAAGUGUUUUCUUUAGACUGAGAUGAAACACGUUUUUGCGGUAACGAGAAAAGAAGGAACAGGAAAGCAACUGACAGGGUGAAGUAACCUAAUCCUCACAUUUCCGGAUCCAAAUGCCCCUCAGGGCUG